UAGAACAAGCAAAAUAAAAAGCACUUUAAAAUCAUGAGUUUAUCUUUUAAAACGAGGACAUAUAUUGUGAUUAUUGCAUAUUUAUUAGCAAACCCCUGAACCGAGGAGUUAGUCUUACUCUGGAGUCUAUUAAGGUGAUUUAGACCUGACUUUCAAGUAUUUUAAAAGCACUUAGCAAGCUCUGUGUCCUUCAUACAUCUCUAUUCUGUUAUGCUACUCUGCUUUCUAGCCUGAAGCACAAAACACAAACUGGCAGACAGUCUUAAAGAUGGACAGGUGUAAUAAAAUGAAGCCAAUGCUAAGCCUUAAACCUGCAUUCCUUUUGAUGGCCAGUAGGGGCCGAUUGCUCUGCUUGUCUGACUGUAAAUAAGUCUGCACGGCCAUUAGUUACCUCGCUCUGUGACAGCAGUAAUUUCAGGAUGAGUUCACGGUCUCUCAUGAAUUUAAAGUCCAACUAAAUAAAGCGUGAUGGUCGUCAUGUUCGAGGAGGGUAUGCUUUGUCAUGUGACCGACCGUUUACUACCCAGAGGAGAUGUACUAUCCUUGUUUUCUCAGUCAGAGAAAACAAAAAACCCCUCAGCUCAAUACUCUUUAACAGGACUUCACCAACCAGUGAAACAACAACUAGGCAGAUUUGUCCAGAGAGGCAACAGGACUGAACUUUGCCAUGGUGUCUCUGUUUGUUUAAUAGGACUUGAUAGGGCGAUGGUGCUGACAACUCGGGUAUGUUUCCAACAGCACCUCACGUCAUCCGUUGUGUUUACCCUGGCUUUUUAAUCACAAGACACCCUCAGCUGAGGUAGACCUCCUGCAGUGUAAUCAGACCUGGGUGAUUGCAGGGUGACUGGCAGCCCUUCACACUUCAGUGACAGCCAUGAUCUUUUGGCAAUUGUGAGCUAAACAGCGACACUCCCACACAUUAAUAAUCCCCUAACAGGGUUUAUUAAUGUGGGCAUCUCCAGCUUCA